rnacentral:rRNA from 1 species
CCUACGGGAGGCAGCAGUAGGGAAUCUUCCGCAAUGGACGAAAGUCUGACGGAGCAACGCCGCGUGAGCGAAGAAGGCCUUCGGGUCGUAAAGCUCUGUUGUUAGGGAAGAACAAGUAACGCAGUAACUGGCGUUACUGUGACGGUACCUAACGAGAAAGCCACGGCUAACUACGUGCCAGCAGCCGCGGUAAU